UGGGGAAUAUUGCGCAAUGGGCGAAAGCCUGACGCAGCGACGCCGCGUGAGGGAUGAAGGUUUUCGGAUCGUAAACCUCUGUCAGAAGGGAAGAAACCGCACUGUGCUAAUCAGCAGUGCCUUGACGGUACCUUCAAAGGAAGCACCGGCUAACUCCGUGCCAGCAGCCGCGGUAAUACGGAGGGUGCAAGCGUUAAUCGGAAUUACUGGGCGUAAAGCGCACGUAGGCUGCUUUGUAAGUCAGGGGUGAAAUCCCACGGCUCAACCGUGGAACUGCCUUUGAUACUGCUUAGCUUGAAUCCGGGAGAGGGUGGCGGAAUUCCAGGUGUAGGAGUGAAAUCCGUAGAUAUCUGGAGGAACAUCAGUGGCGAAGGUGGCCACCUGGACCGGUAUUGACGCUGAGGUGCGAAAGCGUGGGGAGCAAACAGG
rnacentral:rRNA from 1 species